GAUGAACGCUGGCGGCGUGCCUAAUACAUGCAAGUCGAGCGAACAGAUGAGGAGCUUGCUCCUCUGACGUUAGCGGCGGACGGGUGAGUAACACGUGGAUAACCUACCUAUAAGACUGGGAUAACUUCGGGAAACCGGAGCUAAUACCGGAUAAUAUAUUGAACCGCAUGGUUCAAUAGUGAAAGACGGUUUUGCUGUCACUUAUAGAUGGAUCCGCGCCGCAUUAGCUAGUUGGUAAGGUAACGGCUUACCAAGGCAACGAUGCGUAGCCGACCUGAGAGGGUGAUCGGCCACACUGGAACUGAGACACGGUCCAGACUCCUACGGGAGGCAGCAGUAGGGAAUCUUCCGCAAUGGGCGAAAGCCUGACGGAGCAACGCCGCGUGAGUGAUGAAGGUCUUCGGGUCGUAAAACUCUGUUAUUAGGGAAGAUCAAAUGUGUAAGUAACUAUGCACGUCUUGACGGUACCUAAUCAGAAAGCCACGGCUAACUACGUG
rnacentral:rRNA from 1 species